rnacentral:lncRNA from 1 species
GUUUCGUUUGUUUUCGUCUUUUGAGGAGGAAGGAUGCACUUUGUUGCUGUCUGUCGUGCUCUCCUGUCAGUCCAUAGAGGCACGUAGGGAGACAGCAGAGGUGGAGCCCUCGCUGACAAUCCGCAGCGCCUGUCCUCCAGGCAGGGUCCUGGGGCGAGGGACAAGGUAGAGGAAGAAGACCCCACUGGAUACAUUUGAUUGAAAAAUUUCUCCCAGUGAUGACCGAAGUACUGCUGGAAAGAAGUCUUAGAUCCAGCUAAACAUGGUCCUUUCUAAGGAAGAACUGAUCAAGAUAUGACUGAAGAAGGUGAGCCUUUUUCUCAGGCGGAAAUGGAAGAAAUGUUGUCUGCUGCAGUUGAUCCAGAAUCGAAUUCAGUUGAUUACAAGGACUACGUAACAAUGAUGGUGGCAGAUGAGACUUAAACACUUUAAAGACUUAAUUUCCAAUUGAAAGGAUAAUUUAAAAAAUUGUCCUUGUUAAUUUCACAUUUUAUCUUAUCAUUUCUACAUAUGAUAACUAAUGCUUUGUGACAGCUAUUUCAAUAUAUUUUGUUUUUUAAAGAUGAUCAUAAUAAUUUAAAACUCUUUAAAUAUUUAAACUAUUUAACAUUUUAACUAUUUAACAUAUAAAGAUUUAAAACUAUUUGAGCUGUUUAAAACAUCAAAUUAAAAUUUAUUUGUCUAGCCUCAUGGAAC